GAUGAACGCUGGCGGCGUGCUUAACACAUGCAAGUCGAACGAUGAAGCCCAGCUUGCUGGGUGGAUUAGUGGCGAACGGGUGAGUAACACGUGAGUAACCUGCCCUUAACCCUGGGAUAAGCCUGGGAAACUGGGUCUAAUACCGGAUAGGAGCGUCCACCGCAUGGUGGGGGUUGGAAAGAUUUAUCGGUUUUGGAUGGACUCGCGGCCUAUCAGCUUGUUGGUGAGGUAAUGGCUCACCAAGGCGACGACGGGUAGCCGGCCUGAGAGGGUGACCGGCCACACUGGGACUGAGACACGGCCCAGACUCCUACGGGAGGCAGCAGUGGGGAAUAUUGCACAAUGGGCGCAAGCCUGAUGCAGCGACGCCGCGUGAGGGAUGACGGCCUUCGGGUUGUAAACCUCUUUCAGUAGGGAAGAAGCGAAAGUGACGGUACCUGCAGAAGAAGCACCGGCUAACUACGUG
rnacentral:rRNA from 1 species